GACGAACGCUGGCGGCGUGCCUAAUACAUGCAAGUUGAGCGCUGAAGGUUGGUACUUGUACCAACUGGAUGAGCAGCGAACGGGUGAGUAACGCGUGGGGAGUCUGCCUUUGAGCGGGGGACAACAUUUGGAAACGAAUGCUAAUACCGCAUAAAAACUUUAAACACAAGUUUUAAGUUUGAAAGAUGCAAUUGCAUCACUCAAAGAUGAUCCCGCGUUGUAUUAGCUAGUUGGUGAGGUAAAGGCUCACCAAGGCGAUGAUACAUAGCCGACCUGAGAGGGGGGUCGGCCCCAUUGGGCCUGAGGACCCGCCCAAACCCCUACGGGGGGCCGCAGGUGGGAAUUUUCGGGAAUGGGCGAAAGUCUGACCGAGCAACGCCCGCGGAGUGAAGAAGGUUUUCGGGUCGUAAAACUCUUUUGGGAGAAAAGAACGUUUGGGGGGGGGGAAAGCCCAUCAAGGGGCGGUAACUACCCAGAAAGGGCCGGCUACCUCCG
rnacentral:rRNA from 1 species